AGAUAAGGAGCUUGCUCCUUUGACGUUAGCGGCGGACGGGUGAGUAACACGUGGGUAACCUACCUAUAAGACUGGGAUAACUUCGGGAAACCGGAGCUAAUACCGGAUAACAUUUGGAACCGCAUGGUUCUAAAGUGAAAGAUGGUUUUGCUAUCACUUAUAGAUGGACCCGCGCCGUAUUAGCUAGUUGGUAAGGUAACGGCUUACCAAGGCAACGAUACGUAGCCGACCUGAGAGGGUGAUCGGCCACACUGGAACUGAGACACGGUCCAGACUCCUACGGGAGGCAGCAGUAGGGAAUCUUCCGCAAUGGGCGAAAGCCUGACGGAGCAACGCCGCGUGAGUGAUGAAGGGUUUCGGCUCGUAAAACUCUGUUAUUAGGGAAGAACAAACGUGUAAGUAACUAUGCACGUCUUGACGGUACCUAAUCAGAAAGCCACGGCUAACUACGUGCCAGCAGCCGCGGUAAUACGUAGGUGGCAAGCGUUAUCCGGAAUUAUUGGGCGUAAAGCGCGCGUAGGCGGUUUCUUAAGUCUGAUGUGAAAGCCCACGGCUCAACCGUGGAGGGUCAUUGGAAACUGGGAAACUUGAGUGCAGAAGAGGAAAGUGGAAUUCCAUGUGUAGCGGUGAAAUGCGCAGAGAUAUGGAGGAACACCAGUGGCGAAGGCGACUUUCUGGUCUGUAACUGACGCUGAUGUGCGAAAGCGUGGGGAUCAAACAGGAUUAGAUACCCUGGUAGUCCACGCCGUAAACGAUGAGUGCUAAGUGUUAGGGGGUUUCCGCCCCUUAGUGCUGCAGCUAACGCAUUAAGCACUCCGCCUGGGGAGUACGACCGCAAGGUUGAAACUCAAAGGAAUUGACGGGGACCCGCACAAGCGGUGGAGCAUGUGGUUUAAUUCGAAGCAACGCGAAGAACCUUACCAAAUCUUGACAUCCUUUGAAAACUCUAGAGAUAGAGCCUUCCCCUUCGGGGGACAAAGUGACAGGUGGUGCAUGGUUGUCGUCAGCUCGUGUCGUGAGAUGUUGGGUUAAGUCCCGCAACGAGCGCAACCCUUAAGCUUAGUUGCCAUCAUUAAGUUGGGCACUCUAGGUUGACUGCCGGUGACAAACCGGAGGAAGGUGGGGAUGACGUCAAAUCAUCAUGCCCCUUAUGAUUUGGGCUACACACGUGCUACAAUGGACAAUACAAAGGGCAGCUAAACCGCGAGGUCAUGCAAAUCCCAUAAAGUUGUUCUCAGUUCGGAUUGUAGUCUGCAACUCGACUACAUGAAGCUGGAAUCGCUAGUAAUCGUAGAUCAGCAUGCUACGGUGAAUACGUUCCCGGGUCUUGUACACACCGCCCGUCACACCACGAGAGUUUUAACACCCGAAGCCGGGGAGUAACCAU
rnacentral:rRNA from 1 species